rnacentral:tmRNA from 1 species
GGGGACGACUGGUUUUGACAGCAAGACGAGUGAAAAUGUAAGCAUGCCGAGGAGUGAAAUGACGACUCGUUAAACUUAUUUCAACUUUAUAAACGGCGAAGAUAACUACGCUUUAGCUGCUUAAUCUGAAUUACAGUAAGAUUACAAGCCACGUCCCGCUAGGCGGGAAAGCUAAAUGUCCACGAAAAGCCUUGGUUUACGGCGUUUCACUUUUGGGCAUCGUAAAAGUAAACAUAGAAAACUUAGGGCUUCGAUAGGUUUUCGAAAUUAAAGAAGCUACGCUAAAAGUAGGUAGUUCUGAAUCAGCUUUUAGUCGACAAUUAAUUCAAAACUAAGCAUGUAGAAAGCUUUUGAGCUGCUUGUUUGGACCCGAGUUCGAUUCUCGGCGUCUCCACAA